UGUGUGUGACAUGUGACCUUCCAGAAUGUG
rnacentral:piRNA from 1 species